AUCACAUCAAUGUACUCCUAAGAGCCGUGAUUUGAUGGCAUCUUAACUCCUGAAGUGUGAUAUUGCCAUAUAUAGUAUAUUACUACCUCCUUCAUCAUUCACAUGCUUAACAGUGCCUAGCGGGGAAGCAGCAACUCACAGCCAAUAUGACAAACUGCUUUUCUUCUUUCAUAUCCAUAUAAUAUCUCUGGUAGCUUCCUAGUUUUCUUAAACUGCUUAUUUGUUUUUUAAAGUCAGCAGACAUUAUAACCAGUUAGGUCACGAAGACUAUAUAUAACAUAUGACGGACAGCAGUAGGAUUGGGGUAGGCCCUGUGGUUUUAUAAUAUGCAGACUAUAUCCUCAGCAGGACAUUUUUAGCUAUUGUGGUUUGGGCAAUCUGAUUAUCAGUUCAAUUGAAAGUGAUCUUGACCAAUCAUAGCCAAAAUCUACCUCUCCCAGCCAAUCAGGUAUCCUGAAAGUCAAGACUUCUCAAUGUUAGAAUUAUGACCUCAGGACUGCCCAUCAGGGACAUAUAUAACCCAAUAUUACAGACGCUUGUUCAAGGGAUUCUACCAUGAACAGUUUUUUAUCCUUUUUCC